UACGUAGGGUGCGAGCGUUGUCCGGAAUUAUUGGGCGUAAAGGGCUCGUAGGCGGUUUGUCGCGUCGGGAGUGAAAACUCAGGGCUUAACCCUGAGCCUGCUUCCGAUACGGGCAGACUAGAGGUAUGCAGGGGAGAACGGAAUUCCUGGUGUAGCGGUGAAAUGCGCAGAUAUCAGGAAGAACACCAAUGGCGAAAGCAGCUUUCUGGGACGGUACUGACGCUGAGACGCGAAAGCGUGGGGAGCGAACAGG
rnacentral:rRNA from 1 species